AUAAAGCCAAUAAAAAGGUUUUACAUGUAAUAUGUGUUCCGUAAAGUGUAUUUUGGUAUACGUAUGUGGCGAUUUUGUUUAGUUUGUUGGGAAUCAAAUGCAAUACUUUACACAGCGCAUUUAACUCUGAUUGGUCAAUAUUUCAGAUAGUGCACUUAUCAGCCAAGAAAAUGCAAAUGCGCUGAGACAGAGGUAGUAAACAAAACACAAGGAAGGUGCCAAGCGUCAGCUGCACCUCAGCUGAUCGGAAGUGGAGCGCGCAACCCCAAACAAUUGAGGCUAACUUAGCUAGCGAGUGAGGGAGAAAUGGCUGAUACCAUAGCUGAUACAAGGAGGCUAUUCUCCAAGCCUCAGAACUUGAAUGACGCGUAUGGACCACCUAGUAACUUUCUAGAGAUAGACGUGAGCAACCCGGAGACGGUCGGUGUCGGCAGGACCAGGUUUACCACGUAUGAAAUCAGACUAAAGACCAACUUGCCCAUCUUCAAGUUGAAGGAGUCUCGUGUGCGGAGACGGUACAGUGACUUUCAGUGGCUCAGAGGGGAGCUAGAGAGAGACAGCAAGGUGGUGGUACCCCCUCUCCCAGGGAAGGCUCUUUCCAGACAGCUGCCGUUCCGAGGGGACGAUGGGAUAUUUGACGAUUCUUUCAUCGAGGAGCGGAGAGCUGGGCUGGAGCAGUUCCUCAACAAACUGAACACAUACAGCAGGACGUCUACUCCUUCGUUCUCCUUCAUAAUUGCCUAGUAAAGGAACAAGAACAGCCAAAGAGGCCGCAAGUGCGUCCCUUAGUACUUGUUUUUUUCUAUGUGUAAUUUAUGAUAAUUGAGUCUCAAGUUACAGCGAACGGUUCCUCGAUAGGUGGUGUGUGCACCCCUGCUUAUUUUUUUACCCAAGGUGUUCUCACUCCCACGUGGAGAACAAUAAAAGUUACAGUGGGCCUGUUAUUAUUUGCUUUGAUUGCAGACUUGGCUAUUAUCUUUGUUUCAUGUGCAAAUUAUACCUGUUAGAAUAUUAAGUAUGCCUAAAGACUAGCGAGAAGAGAAAAAAAGAGCGAAGAAUGUGUUGGUAAUUAAGAUUUUUUUUCCUCGAAUUAAAUGCUACUGUUGAUCAUGGCAUUGUUCAGACUUAAUAGCUGCACAGCAGAGUGGAGUUGGUUCGCUCUGCUGUUAUGAACUGUGAUUGAGUGUAUUGUGGAGAGGAAAACCAUUUACCUAGAGGUAAACAUGGUUAUCAUGUCUAAACAACCCAUCAGAGGAGGAGAGAACAGCACAGUGAAGUUUUAAGGGAAGUUUGCAGGCGAUAUUGUUCAAAAACAAAAGGCGAGAAUAUAGUCAGAGUUAGGAUGGAGGAGUGGGUACAGGGUUAGAUGCGAUCAGGGGCCAGCUUAUUUACGCUUUUAAUUCAACUCCAUAAAAAAAUAUAAAUGUCAGUUUUGAUUGAGUCAUGGAGUGUCAGGAGGGGGGCUCAACUUGCUCAUCUAAUGGCAAAUGGAAGCCUCCUCAAAUCCUCCACAAUGUUUCUGUUGUACAUGAACCCUUGGUCAUGCUUGCCCUUCAGAAAUAUUUCCCUUUUAAGAAUGUAACUGAGUACAUAGGAUGAUGAGAGUACGUCUGUCAUUGGAAAUUGGUCUGUUAAGAGGAAGUAUAUUAUUUUUGGUCUCAGGUGCCCUUUCACUUUUUUGCUCUCUUUCUCCUCUUCUUUCCCCCUCCAUCUUUCUCUUUCUUUCUUCUCUUUUGCUUCAAUCUCCCCAUCCCUCUCCCUGACCUUGAUGGUAAUUAUGAGCAGGUUUCCAGAAUCCUUUCCUCUUCAUCAAAUUCUCUGCCUCCUGCUUCAGAUGUAACAUGGGGACUUUAUGAAUUUAAAGACAGAGUGGCUGGUCACCCCUUGGCCCAGAACGAGCGCUGUCUGCACAUGUUUCUACAGGACGAGUCUGUGGACAAGACCUAUACCCCCUCCAAAAUACGACAAGCCUAAGAGAAGCGGGCCACCACGCGGCCCAGCCCCGGUCUAUACUCGGCCAGGCCCCGCUCCACAACCCAAAGCUCUCUGUUCUGCUAACGGUCCUGCUCUGCUCCGACCACAAACACUUGUAUAAUCUUCAUUCUUCUUUUGUUUGCAAUCACUUUCUUUCUUUUGUCUUUUAUCUCCGUGUUGAUUAGCGAUCUCAUGUAGUGCUCGUUUUCAACUCUCGAUUGGAUCAAACUAGGAAAUGGUCUACAUGUAAAAACUGUGGUUGAAAAUAAUGUAUCAUUGUUUUUGUCUCAAUGCCACUACCUUGAGUAUUUUACAGUAUGUUAUCUAUAUUUAUCAGUGAGGUAUGUCUUGGAUAUUCAUUUUUAAAGAAAUAUAAAAAAUACCUUUCCAUGUAUGCAAACCUCAUGUUAAAACCCCAUACAUUACAGUGUUGUUUUUACUCAAUGUCCAAUUGGAAUGAUUGUCCUUGGCACACUUUGUCCCUGACUCUGAAAAUCACCCUUUGUGGACGGUCCAUCACUACCAUGAACUGAAGCAUGUGUGUGUCUGUGUACGACCAGCCAGCACUUCCACUGUUCGUUAGCCUGUAAAUUAUUUUAUGAGAAAAAAUGCACCAGAGAGGGGAACCCCACAGCAUUUCUACCAACUGACCAUGUGUUUAUGAAAUGUGUAUACUGCUGUGCCAUUUUGUUAUUUUGAAAAUGUUCCAAUAAAAUAGGUCAAACGCA